GCUCCUCGGAGAUCCCCACUUUUGUCACUGGUCAAGAGGAGAUCCCCACUUUUGUCACUGGCCAGUAUUCUGUCCAACUUUUGUUUGAUACCCAAAUGACCAGAGAGAUCUUCGCCAGCAUUGACUCAGCAACACGCCCAGGCUCUGAGAGCUUGCUCCUCAGCGUCCCUGCAGCUGUGAUCCUGAUGCUGAAUACCGAGGGGUGCUCCUCUGCAGUGAGAAAUGGCCUGCUUCUACUCAACCUGCUUUUGUGUAACCACCAUACUCUGGGAGACCAGAUUAUAACCCAAGAGUUGAGAGACACCUUGUUUAGGCACUCGGGGAUAGCACCGGGGACAGAACCCAUGCCUACCACACGCACUAUCCUCAUGAUGCUUCUCAAUCGCUACUCAGAGCCGCAGAGCAGUCCUGAGCUAGCAGGUACCAGUGUGUAUGUGUGAUGGGAGGUUCUGCUGAGGAGCAAUACAGUAGCAGGCUGUGGCCAGGAAGGGCAGGGUAUACAUUGCAGCCACUCACUGAAGGAUGCUGGGAUCUCUAGGAAAUGAAUGAAACUGUUGGUAUUCAAGCUGGAGAUGUUGGGGGGUGUGGUGUGUAUGGGGCUGUGUAGCCCAAACUGACCUCGAGCUCAAGAUCCUUUUGCCACUGUCUUUCAAGUGCUAGGAAUACCAGUGUGUACCUUCAUGCCUCAAGUUAGAGCUCAAGCAGAGCUUCCUGAUCAGAAGGAGAAUACUGUAGAAUAUGUGCAAGGAAAUUACUUCGCUGUGCCUUACACCUUUGUGGAAUCCCAUCAGUCUUCGUUAGGUUUGAUCCAGACCUGUUAGGAAGUAGAAAAGUUGAAAUAUAGGGAGGCUUUCUGUAGCAGAAUUGCAAUUUAUGGUACAGAAAAUUUGUGACUAGGUUGUAUACUAAAGUGGUUGAGCACUUAACCUCAUACUUAGAAGCCCUUCUUCUUCUAAGAGGGUUCAGGCUCCUGCAUAACAUUACAAAAGAAAGAAACAGAAAAGGAGAGAACAGAAAGUUUAUGACUGGGAAUGUGAACUCUUGUUAUCACAUGAAAUCCUUUGCAUUUUGCAAAACAGGUGAGAG
rnacentral:lncRNA from 1 species